UUGCUCUAUGGUUCAAUGGUAGAACGGCGCACUGUUAAUGCGAAGGUUACUGGUUCGAGUCCAGUUAGAGCAGU
rnacentral:tRNA from 1 species